rnacentral:rRNA from 1 species
UGCGCAGGCGGUUUGUUAAGCGAGAUGUGAAAGCCCCGGGCUUAACCUGGGAAUCGCAUUUGGAACUGGCAGACUAGAGUCUUGUAGAGGGGGGUAGAAUUCCAGGUGUAGCGGUGAAAUGCGUAGAGAUCUGGAGGAAUACCGGUGGCGAAGGCGGCCCCCUGGACAAAGACUGACGCUCAGGCACGAAAGCGUGGGGAGCAAACA